UCCAUCGGCCAUACCAUGUUGAAAUACGCCGGUUCUCGUCCAAUCACCGAAGCUAAGCAACGUUGGGUCCGGGUAGUACUUGGAAGGGAGACCGCCUGGGAGCACUGGGUAUUGAUGGCA
rnacentral:rRNA from 1 species